rnacentral:lncRNA from 1 species
CUGAGAAAGGUUGUUUUUGAAUAAAUUCUAUGUAUUCGGGGUCUAUCUCAAAACUAGAUGUUAUGAUAGGCUUUGAAGAUUUUGGUGGUUCGAGAUGUGUGCCCAUAGGUCUAUGAAAUUCAUAGAUAGACAUGUUUGAAUUCAUAAUAGACCAGAGAUCAAGGAUUAGAUAAGAAGAAAGAAUAGCAGAGAUGAGGCAAAGGAUAAAAUAAAAAUAUUUUUUUUGUUAUAUAUAUUUUUUUUAUAAAAUGAUUAAACUAGUUCAUAGUCAACUCAGCUACCGUUUCCCCGGCAACGGCGCCAAAAAUGCUUGUUGACACUUGCUAACACCACUUUAAUACUAGGUUGUCAUCCCCAACGUGGCACUAGAGUGUACUAUGGUAUUUAUACGCACACAGAUAAUCCGCAAGCGCACGGAUACCGUUGAAGCUUUUACCCGGUUAAAGGUUUUAUCGUAUCCACAGGGAAACGGGAGAACUGAUCUACGCUCUAACUUAACCAAGAUAAGUAAAUAGGUGUGAAUAGGAAAGAUGGUAGAAUCGAAUAAGAACAAUAUUAAAGGUAAGAUAACAGUGAGUGAUAAUAUGGGAAUAGAGAAUAGAGCAAUUCUAGUAUAUGGGCGAUGGUAGCAGAAUAGAGAGGAUAACUAUGGUUUCUCUACUUCAAAGGGGUAUGUCUAUGUCUGGGACAAACCACGUGAUAAGAGUACACCACAAAGGAUGCUUAUCCAUAGGCUGAUAAACCCUACCCGUCCUGCUAACGAGAGGUGGACUACAGGGGACCAACGUAACUGUCACUUACGCGGCCUACCACACAAUCCAGCUAGUCAGGGGAUAUCCAUAAGUAAUCUAGGUCUAAGCACCACGCUUACACCUAUACUACAACUCUAACCAAUAGGGUCCUAUAGAUUAGAAGUACUCAAAAGAGUUGUGAACCAGAACAUACAUGAUUAGUAAUUGCAUAAUGAAUUAGAAGUAGAUUACCAGAGUCAUCCCAUGAGCAAGCUUGAUCAUGGCGAAGUACAACCGGAGGAAGAACCGACAGGCCAGCCUCUCCUCUAAUCCUCCUUUGCUCUCCAUCUUGCUACUAUCUAGAUCUACUCUAGUUUAGAGAAGAGAGGAGAGCUCUCAUCUCUAAACCCUAGCUUUUGCUCUGUCUAUGAAUAAUGAAUAAUGAUCAAGGGGUGCCUCCUCCAGGGGCCAGGGGGUCUGGUUUUAUAGUCCCCUCAAGUGAACCUGGGCCGUCGGAUAAAACCGACAUUGAUUGAACAGUUAUUCUUGAUCCUUUAGGUCGGUGGAGCAUAAUCCGCGAGAUUGAGCGUGAUUGGCCGAAAAAGGUGGGCGGGCGCCCUAAGGACUAGGGCGGGCGCCCUGUCCCUGACUCCGUUCGGUCUCCGCUUCCCUCCCGUGGCUUCUGGAGUCUUCUAGAUGUAAGAUAAUUGCGCGGCACGUUGAUAUCUCUAUGUAAUCCCGACGUGUGGGCCUUUCUUCCUUAUUUCUUGAUAACCCCCUGCAGAAAUAGACAAACACCAAAACUCGUGGAAUUCUAUCAGAUAAAACCCUAAGUCUUGAUGUUGAUUUCAUUUGGAUCCUUUUCUUUGUUUAUUUGAUAGUUAAUUUUGAUACUUAAGGACCGUCAACAAACUCCCCCAAGCUUACCUCUUGCUCGUCCCUGAGUAAGGAUAGACUCAGCUAUGGAUCAUAAGUUGUUGCAAUAUCUUUAAAAUUUGACGGUACACAUGCUUUUAAAUGAGGUCUCAUCUCUGAGUUAGAGUAAACUGUCAAGACUUAAAACUUACUUACUUUACCUUUCACCAUGGGACUUGUAACCGUCACUUCUGUCUUGAGUGGUUAAAAGAUAGAACAGUCCCGUCAAGUGCCAUGUCUCUUAUUCUUGAUCAGCUAUAGCUCUGGAGUUUUUGCAGAUUUUUAAAUAAAACUCAGAGAUUCCUUUGUAUGACUCUCUCAUAUCUCUCUUUUGUGGUAUUUCUAGAUCCUUACCAAGGCAGUGAUGGUAUAUGCCUUCUCUCAAGAUAUGUGGUAUUUGUGGUAUAAGGCAUAGUGACAUUGCCUUCUCUCUCACCCUACUCUAAUAAGGCUUUAAUAUCUGGAGCUCAUAGGUGGGAGAUAAAGUAUACAUACUUACAAGACAUUUAUUGUAUAGUCAAACCAUGGAUCCAAAGAAACAAAUCAAUAAGCCAAAUCAAGAUGUGCAUGUGUGGCGAAUGAAUAGUGUAUGGUGAUGAUGGUGAUAACAAUGGUGAAAGUCUAAUUCUACUUUUGCUCUUUUGAGGGGAUACAUACCUUCCUUGCUUUUUGAAACUUUAUGAGGAGAAUGAGAUGCUCUUCUUUUUUCUUUUCUCUCAGAUGGGUAUCCUGUACCCCUAAUUCUACUGUCGGACACUUGUCCAUUUUUACCUCUCGUCUCACUCUUUUUCUUUUCUUUCGAGGUUCCGGGCACUUGCCCCUUUUUAUUUCCUCGUUUAUUUUUUUUUCUUUUUUUUCAGAGCACUCAUCUCUUGAGAUAAUAUAGCAAGUGGUAGUAGCAAGAUAACUUGAGCAUUUAUUUCACACGGGAAAAACACAGAUGUUUUUGGCUAUUCUCUCCCGAAUUAGGAGUAGAAUAUUUUUAGGUGAUUCUGGAGAUGGAAAUGGAUGGAUAUAUGUGGAUGGUACUUCCGAAGUAGAAGUAGCAUAUAUGAGUGAACGUGCAAGUGAAUCCUGAUUUAACCACAUGACAAGCUCCUAAGGGUCUACACAGCUUGACCACACUCAAUGCUCAUAAGCAGUAAAUAAUAAAUGUGUGGCUCAAAGUCUAGCAAGCAUGUAUAUAUGGCUGUGGUAGGAAUUUAAACUUUCAUCAUACAGGAACUCAUCGUGCAACAUUUUAAAGAUUUUCAAAGAUAAAAUUCUCCAUAAUUCUAGCAUCUCUAGGAAUAGAUAAACAGCAGCUCAACCUUCCCAUAUCAUAUCCGUUAACAACUUAGAUUUCAGAUCAAGUUUUCAUCCCAUAAGUUUAGAUCUAGAGCAAGCUUUAAAUUAUAACAGUUAUGUCUAAACUUGAGAGAGAACAUCAAAUUUGCAAAUUAGGCAGAGCAACUAUUCAUCAUAUCCAUGCUAGAGUUUUAUUAUUAAGAUUCAUAGCAAACUUUAUUUAUUUAUUUAUUUAGCAAACUAAGAAAAGAUAUAUAUAUAUAAGCAUAAAAUCUUUAUUUGGUUUUUCAUAGUUUAUGUAUUUUAAUAUUCUAAUAUAAUAUAUGUAUAAAGAUAGGUAGAAAUACUUAGCGAGAUAAAUAGGGGUGCUCUCCCCCAAGCUGAAUUUUGAUGUAAUUUCUCUUGAUGUAGCUAGCAGGUGGCAGAGGUGUAUUUGAAAGUCAGCAGCAUUCUGACAGCGAUUAGAAUGUCCUCCAUCUGCUAGUCUUCUUGAUUCUUAAAUUCUGUGGAGCUCAAAUAGACAACAAAGCUUGUGGAACUAAUUAAGUGUUAGCAUAAAUAUCUAGCCUUCAUCACGUUGAGCUUCCUCAACAAAUAUUACUCUCUGUUUUUAUAUUUUUAUUUUAUAAAGUAGAAAAGAAAUAUUUAUUUUAUUUUUAUGCCACCACAGUGAAGGUACUUAUGGGUUUUAUGCCACUCGUAUACUCACAUGGGGCUUAGUAUUUUUUAAAAUUUUUAUUUUCUUUUCAAGAUAGCAUGAUUAACAAAUAAUCUAUUUAAGGAAAGUAAAUAAUUAAAUGGAAAAGGGAAUGCAGAAAGGAUAAAUAUGGAUAACUACCAAUCUUACCUUUCGGCGAGGGUUCAAUGUUUUAAGUCUUCUUGUCAAGACUUCUCAUCGUGUUCAUUCUUCAGGUGCGUCAUUUGAUUCAGGUGCGGACCUUGACGUCUGCACCUUUUAAUACGGUGUCACCCAUGUUUUUCGUUUGCCCAGCAGUUCGAAGUGCGGUUUUAGCAGUAUCUUGCUCAGUGUGUUUGUGCUCGUAGUGUACCUGCUCAUAGAGACAAGGCAGAGAUCAAGUGCAUGGGCCCUGUUGGUGGAGAACACCAACAGAACCAAAAGUGUAUUUGUUCUUCUCUAACCUUAAGCAUAGUGAGCAAGACAAAGUUGAUGGAUGAUAAGUUCAUGAGUGUAGCACUUAUAACAUUUGUCAGAUCAGAUCGCUCAACCUUAUGGAAAGAUAAUCUAUCUAUGUAUAUGUAUUUUUCUUUAUAUCUCUCAAUGAUUGAAUGUGUAACAUUUUAGCUCAUAUGAUUAGGAGUGUGGGAUCAUGGAGGUAGUACUAAGAACAAGGAUUAAAGGACUGAACAUGUUGAAUCAGUUGGGUUGGUUAAUCUAGAGUUGUAAAUCAUACACGUUUGUCUCUUUUAUUUAUAUGAAUGCCAGAACCUAAGAGAAGCUUAUAAAAGUGAUAGUCAAGUACCUUAAGAUGUUACCUUGCUCGAAGAGUGAUGGUACAGUAUCAUCUUGUGGAAGCUUUCCUUUCUUAGCGGUUGUGCGUCGUGUUUGUGGCACCCUCCAUGGAUCAUCUCUCUAUGAUGAAUGAGCUAUGUCCUUCUUGUGCAAAUUGUUAAACUUCAUAUGUCACUCUCUUCGUCUCUUAUGUGAGUUUAUCUCAGGACUUCCCAAAUCGAUAUUGAAAGUUUUUCUGCAGGGGUUAGUCUGACAAAAUAUACCAAUACCUACUCAAGCAGUUUUUUUAGUUCAAUAACCAAACUAGACUCCAUGUCUAAUCAGAUUAAGGAAGGCUAUUUAACCUAAGCACCAUGCUUAAUUUAAAUGCCAAUGGAAGUAUGGCGAGUACUUCCAAACCAACACUUGCUAGUAAAUAGACAAAGGUAGCAUGACAGCGUUUAUAGAGAUCUAUUCAAGUGGAGAUGAAGUAGUGUGAUUAGUAUUUAACAAAUUGAGCAUGUCUCAAAGGUAGGGACAACCAGCAUAGCAACAUGGCAAAGGAUGUUUUUAUGUAAAGUACUCCCCCAAGCUUGAAUUUUGCAAAAUUCAAGUUUGGAUGAAUUUAAUUCAAUGUUGUAUGAUGAUUGGUUGGACAUACCUUGUGCUUGUCAUUCAUCCGAUCUUCUUGCUCCAAUCUUAGAAAGGUUAGUGACAAGAAUACCCGAAGGAAUAUUUUUUUUUUACAAUUAUCCUUAUAUGCUCAAUACACAAGGUAAUGUUGCAAAUAAUUAAAGGCUCAUGUUACGAUCUGAUCAAUGCUUAUUUUAAGACACUAAGCUUGUCCUUGGGAAACCAUCAGUUUAUGUUGGUGAAGUGGUUUCCCCUCCGACGCCAACCUAUAUCUAGAUCAACUCAACGAGAUCUGCAAUAUUUAUUAUAGACAUAUGCAUCGACAACUGCCCUUUUAAAGUUUUUAUAAAUAGAAAGGAAGAGGGGGUUGGAGAUCUCAAGUGUGGUGAUGUCGGAGAGACCAAUAGAUUGGGAAGAUGUUGCAUAUGAGCAUGGAGUAAACGAAGUGGCUAUGAAAUAAAUUCCAUGCUCAUUAAUGUUAUCUUUGUCUCUAAUUUGAAUGUUUGGAGUUUCUCCUGUAUUGGUCUCACCUAUGUCCUCUUCUGUAGUUGGAUGAAUCUCAUCUUCAAAGGGAGUCAAGAACUCACCAUUUGAAAUUAAGCCAAAGUCAGAACCCAUUAAGGCUUCAUCCUUAUCCAUCCAUUCUACACAUUCUAGCCAUUUAGAACUUGUGAUCAAAAUAGGGGAGGUGUUAGAAUUUUCUAUAUGGCUUAGCUCUCCUUCUAUGGCAUUACUUGACAUGCCAUCCUUAUGGUCUUCAUGACUCCUAUGGUUUGGUCGUCUUGGUGAAUUUCUAGGAUCAUCAUGAGACUGAAAAGAAGAGGGAUAAGAGGGAUCUCUAAGGUCAAGGAUGGAUUUAGAACUUGUGAACAUGGAAGGGGAGUAGAUAGAAUUGUCUAUAUGGCUUAGCUCUCCUUCACUUGAUAUGUCAUCCUCGACUUCUUCAUGAUACGAACCAGGACAUUCUCUAAGAGAAACAUUAUUGCAAUGAUUUGAAUUAUCCCUGCUUAAAGGUCUCUUAUAGAACCAGAAGUCUAAACCAUCAGCAUCUAAAAGAUUUAAGGUCGGAAUUCCUUCCUCCCUUGGAGAAUUUUGGGGUAUUGAUGGUUUAGGAUCGAUAGCUAAAGUUUGGGAUUGAAGUGGUUGUGAUCUGUCUAUCGAAACUUCUUCUUCUUGUCUAGGAACUGGUUCUUUCUCUUUCUCAGGGAUUUAAAAGCUAGGAGACUUUCCGCUCAUUAAAUCAAUCAAAUUCCAAGCUUCACAAGCGGAUAGGUGGUGGAAAGAUCCUCCCGAGGCCGCAUGAAGGGUUUGCUUAUCUUCCUUACUAAGGCCCUCAAAAAAGUGAAUUAGAAGAACUUCUUCUGGAAUAGAAAGUUUUGGGCAAGUGAGAGUAAGGUUAAUAAAGCGGUCCCAUGAUUUGCCAAGAGAUUCUUCUUCCAAUUGUCUAAAAGAAAGAAUCUCACGCCGAAGUUCCACCACUUUGGAGAUUGGAAAAUAUUUAGAAAGAAAACUACUAUAUAACUCCUUCUAAUCUCCAUAAACACUCCCUACUUUCAGUUUAUACCAAUGUCUAGCUUUUCCCGUUAAAGAGAACGGAAAGAGCUUCUAUUUAAGGGUCUCAUUGGACAUGCCAUCUAUGCGAAGGAGGUCACAGACUCGAUAAAACUCUCUUAGGUGUGUGUAUGGGUUUUCCUCACCUUCUCCUGAGAAAGGUUGUUUUUGAAUAAAUUCUAUGUAUUCGGGGUCUAUCUCAAAACUAGAUGCUAUGAUAGGCUUUGAAGAUUUUGGUGGUUCGAGAUGUGUGCCCAUAGGUCUAUGAAAUUCAUAGAUAGACAUGUUUGAAUUCAUAAUAGACCAGAGAUCAAGGAUUAGAUAAGAAGAAAGAAUAGCAGAGAUGAGGCAAAGGAUAAAAGGAAAUUUUUUUUUUUUGUUAUAUAUAUUUUUUUUAUAAAAUGAUUAAACUAGUUUGUAGUCAACUCAGCAACCGUUUCCCGGGCAACGGCGCCAAAAAUGCUUGUUGACACUUGCUAACACCACUUGAAUACUAGGUUGUCAUCCCCAGCGUGGCACUAGAGUGUACUAUGGUAUUUAUACGCACACAGAUAAUCCGCAAGCGCACGGAUACCGUUGAAGCUUUUACCCGGUUAAAGGUUUUAUCGUAUCCACAGGGAAACGGGAGAACUGAUCUACGCUCUAACUUAACCAAGAUAAGUAAAUAGGUGUGAAUAGGAAAGAUGGUAGAAUCGAAUAAGAACAAUAUUAAAGGUAAGAUAACAGUGAGUGAUAAUAUGGGAAUAGAGAAUAGAGCAAUUCUAGUAUAUGGGCGAUGGUAGCAGAAUAGAGAG